rfam:Loxodonta africana unplaced genomic scaffold scaffold_9, whole genome shotgun sequence.
UUGGCUUGUUCAGAUGGGUGGCCAAACUGUCUCCUAUACUUUCAAGGGGUGCUGGGGUGGUUGAAU